rnacentral:rRNA from 1 species
CCCUUCGAUGUUCUGGGCUGCACGCGCGCUACAAUGGCACCGACAGAAAGCGAUAUAGAGUUGCAUCGAGAGAUGUGACGAAUCAGCAAUCGUUGUCUUGAUUGGGAUUGAGCGUUGUAAUAUUUGCUCAUGAAAGAGGAAUUCCUCGUAAGCGCGAGUCACCAACUCGUGUUGAAUACGUCUCUGCCCUUUGUACACACCGCCCGUCGCUACUACUGAUUGAACUGGUUUUUAAAGUGUAGAGAUUUGCGAGCAUAGGUUCGUGCAAACGGGCCAUUGCCAUUGCAGAGAACCACUCUGAAAAAAUCGUUUGAGAAGAAGUAAAAGUCGUAACA